rnacentral:misc_RNA from 1 species
UUUCCGUAGGUGAACCUGCGGAAGGAUCAUUAUUGGAUUUUGAAACUUCAGGCUGCUGCUGGCUCUCCUCGGAGGGCAUGUGCACGCUUGUUGUCCAUUAUUUCUCCCACUGUGCACAAAUUGUAGACCUUUCAGUUGGCCUAUGUUGUUUUUCACAAUCUCUGAAUGUAAUAGAAUGGUUUUGAAUCUUGGGAAAUACAAUACAACUUUCAGCAACGGAGCGCGGGGCUCUCGCAUCGAGGAAGAACGCAGC